rnacentral:rRNA from 1 species
GAUGAACGCUGGCGGCGUGCCUAAUACAUGCAAGUCGAGCGAACAGACGAGGAGCUUGCUCCUCUGACGUUAGCGGCGGACGGGUGAGUAACACGUGGAUAACCUACCUAUAAGACUGGGAUAACUUCGGGAAACCGGAGCUAAUACCGGAUAAUAUAUUGAACCGCAUGGUUCAAUAGUGAAAGACGGUUUUGCUGCCACUUAUAGAUUGAUCCGCGCCUCAUUAGCUAGUUGGUAAGGUAACGGCUUACCAAGGCGACGAUGCGUAGCCGACCUGAGAGGGUGAUCGGCCACACUGGAACUGAGACACGGUCCAGACUCCUACGGGAGGCAGCAGUAGGGAAUCUUCCGCAAUGGGCGAAAGCGUGAAGGAGCAACGCCGCGUGAGUGAUGAAGGUCUUCGGAUCGUAACACUCUGUUAUUAGGGAAGCACAAAUGUGUAAGUAACUAUGCACGUCUUAACGGAACCUAAUCAGAAAGCCACGGCUAACUACGU